UGGGGAAUUUUGGACAAUUGGGCGAAAGCCUGAUCCAGCAAUGCCGCGUGUGUGAAGAAGGCCUUCGGGUUGUAAAGCACUUUUGUCCGGAAAGAAAUCCUUGGCUCUAAUACAGUCGGGGGAUGACGGUACCGGAAGAAUAAGCACCGGCUAACUACGUGCCAGCAGCCGCGGUAAUACGUAGGGUGCAAGCGUUAAUCGGAAUUACUGGGCGUAAAGCGUGCGCAGGCGGUUUGCUAAGACCGAUGUGAAAUCCCCGGGCUCAACCUGGGAACUGCAUUGGUGACUGGCAGGGCUAGAGUAUGGCAGAGGGGGGUAGAAUUCCACGUNUAGCAGUGAAAUGCGUAGAGAUGUGGAGGAAUACCGAUGGCGAAGGCAGCCCCCUGGGCCAAUACUGACGCUCAUGCACGAAAGCGUGGGGAGCAAACAGGAUUAGAUACCCUGGUAGUCCACGCCCUAAACGAUGUCAACUAGUUGUUGGGGAUUCAUUUCCUUAGUAACGUAGCUAACGCGUGAAGUUGACCGCCUGGGGAGUACGGUCGCAAGAUUAAAACUC
rnacentral:rRNA from 1 species